rnacentral:lncRNA from 1 species
UGUGUUAAAAUUUCAUAGAUUUCUAUUCACUUUUACUAAAGUUAGAGUGCGAAAACUAAAAGUAUUCGGACGCCGGACGACGACGACGACGACGACGACGCCGACGCCGACGCCAACGUGAUAGCAAUAUACGACGAAAAUUUUUUCAAAAUUUGCGGUCGUAUAAAAAUCAAACAAAACAUAAACCACUAAAAAAAAGAGCUAAGUAAUGUUAACAGAUGCUGUACAAAGCAUUAAAUAUAUCUAGCCAUUGUUAUGUUUUUAACCUAAAUAUAGACAGCUGUCAAACAUUUAUGCUAUGAAAUCUAGAAAGUGAACAGUUUAAGCUUGAGAUUUAUUACACAUGACAGUGCAGUCAGUCUUUCUUUUGAUCAAGAAAGCAAAUGUCCAUCUAUACAAAGAAAUAAUGACAUUGGUCCUGUGGUAGCUAGCAUUAAGUUGCUAAGGGAUGUUUUCCAUUUGAUUGUCAGGAAUGAUUGUUUACCUGUUUAUAAUUUAGGGACUAUGGACCUAAAAAAACUUAUGACUAAGAUUGAUCUUAAGUAUACAGAAUUGUUCAUGACUUAUGAUCAAUCUUAGUCCGAAGUUUUUUUGUGAAAUCGACUCCAGUCGCUUAACUGCUUAUUAUAGGACUUUAUAAGGGACUAUAUUUUUACAUCAUGAUAAGAACACCAGUCAAGUUAUUCAAUUUGACAACCCCUAUUUCAGAACAACACUAUCCUGCUUGUUUUUUUACCUUACAUAUUAAUUGACAAACUCAAUUCAACAGUCCAGCUUUAAACUAAAUUAAUUUAUCACUUAAACUUAUUCAAGUCAUAGUUAUCUUUCAGAUUACAAAUAUAUCAAAAAUAAAGAAAUUUCUACUAACUGUAAGAGCAUUUAUAUUCAAGGAGUUUAACUUUGAUGAUUUCCUUGGCUAAAGCUUUUUUUUAACGUUUUAUUUACUUAUUUUAUUUCUUCCUGUUUCUGAAAAGAUCAAAGGAGUAGGGGCAUUAAGGCCUGGUUUUGGCCCAAGAAAAUAAAAUGUUUGAUAACUUUCUCAAAUUGGCACAUAAUGUUUAGAAAUGCAUAGGGUCAAGAAUAUCAAUGAAAAACAUUAAGAUUUUUAUGUGAUGACGUCACAAUUACGUCAUAAUUAGUACUGUUUUCAUAAAAAUGAUGAAAA